rnacentral:rRNA from 1 species
AGUGAACGCUGGCGGUAGGCCUAACACAUGCAAGUCGAACGGCAGCACAGUAAGAGCUUGCUCUUACGGGUGGCGAGUGGCGGACGGGUGAGGAAUACAUCGGAAUCUACUUUUUCGUGGGGGAUAACGUAGGGAAACUUACGCUAAUACCGCAUACGACCUACGGGUGAAAGCAGGGGAUCUUCGGACCUUGCGCGAUUGAAUGAGCCGAUGUCGGAUUAGCUAGUUGGCGGGGUAAAGGCCCACCAAGGCGACGAUCCGUAGCUGGUCUGAGAGGAUGGUCAGCCACACUGGAACUGAGACACGGUCCAGACUCCUAUGGGAGGCAGCAGUGGGGAAUAUUGGACAAUGGGCGCAAGCCUGAUCCAGCCAUACCGCGUGGGUGAAGAAGGCCUUCGGGUUGUAAAGCCCUUUUGUUGGGAAAGAAAAGCAGCAGGUUAAUACCCCGCUGUUCUGACGGUACCCAAAGAAUAAGCACCGGCUAACUUCGUG